ensembl:ncRNA M79.5 ncRNA
UGACCAAUUAGAAAAUGUGCUCUGGCACAUUUUCCUUUCUGUGUGGGACUGAGAACCACGGGGGACACCCAACCUCCUGUUCUUCAUUCUUUCUAUCCAAUUUUUAUGAUGGAUUUGGUGCGACG